GCCUUCGUGGUGUAAUGGUCAGCAAAUUAGGUGCGUAAUCGAGAGGUCCGAGGUUCGAGUCCCGGCGAGGGUA
rnacentral:tRNA from 1 species